UAUUAACCACAAAUUUGU
rnacentral:snRNA from 1 species